rnacentral:rRNA from 1 species
AACGAACGCUGGCGGCAGGCUUAACACAUGCAAGUCGAACGAGAUCUUCGGAUCUAGUGGCAGACGGGUGAGGAACACGUGGGAACAUCCCUUUCAGUUCGGAAUAACGUUGGGAAACUAACGCUAAUACCGGAUACGUCCUUCGGGAGAAAGAUUUAUCGCUGAAAGAUUGGCCCGCGUCUGAUUAGCUAGUUGGUGAGGUAAUGGCUCACCAAGGCUACGAUCAGUAGCUGAUCUGAGAGGAUGAUCAGCCACAUUGGGACUGAGACACGGCCCAAACUCCUACGGGAGGCAGCAGUGGGGAAUAUUGCACAAUGGGGGAAACCCUGAUGCAGCAACGCCGCGUGAGUGAUGAAGGUCUUCGGAUCGUAAAGCUCUGUCUUCAGGGACGAUAAUGACGGUACCUGAGGAGGAAGCCACGGCUAACUACGUGCCAGCCGCCGCAGUAA